UGUAAUGAUGACUGACUAGAGUCUCUGACAUUUUAGAUGAUGUCAAAAAUUAAGCUCAACA
rnacentral:snoRNA from 1 species